GACGAACCGUGCGAACGUUGUUCGGAAUCACUGGGCUUAAAGGGCGCGUAGGCGGGUCAGCAAGUCCGGGGUGAAAUCUUUCGGCUCAACCGGAAAAGUGCCUCGGAUACUGCUGGUCUUGAGGGAGGUAGGGGCACGCGGAACUUCCGGUGGAGCGGUGAAAUGCGUUGAUAUCGGAAGGAACGCCGGUGGCGAAAGCGGCGUGCUGGCCCUCUUCUGACGCUGAGGCGCGAAAGCCAGGGGAGCGAACGGG
rnacentral:rRNA from 1 species